rnacentral:rRNA from 1 species
CCUACGGGAGUCAGCAGUGGGGAAUAUUGGGCCAUGGGCGCAAGCCUGACCCAGCAACGCCGCGUGAGUGAAGAAGUAUUUCGGUAUGUAAAGCUCUAUCAGCAGGGAAGAAAAAAGACGGUACCUGACUAAGAAGCCCCGGCUAACUACGUGCCAGCAGCCGCGGUAAUACGUAGGGGGCAAGCGUUAUCCGGAUUUACUGGGUGGAAAGGGAGCGUAGACGGCAAUACAAGUCGGAAGUGAAAUACCCGGGCUCAACCUGGGAACUGCUUUGGAAACUGUAUGGCUAGAGUGCUGGAGAGGUAAGCGGAAUUCCUAGUGUAGCGGUGAAAUGCGUAGAUAUUAGGAGGAACACCAGUGGCGAAGGCGGCUUACUGGACAGUAACUGACGUUGAGGCUCGAAAGCGUGGGGAGCAAACAGGAUUAGAUACCCCGGUAGUC